rnacentral:rRNA from 1 species
UACGGAGGGUGCAAGCGUUAUCCAGAUUCACUGGGUUUAAAGGGUGCGUAGGUGGGUAGGUAAGUCAGUGGUGAAAUCCCCGAGCUUAACUUGGGAACUGCCGUUGAUACUAUCUGUCUUGAAUAUCGAGUAGGUAAGCGGAAUAUGUCAUGUAGCGGUGAAAUGCUUAGAUAUGACAUAGAACACCAAUUGCGAAGCAGCUUACUUCAAGAUUAUUGACACUGAGGCACGAAAGCGUGGGGAUCAAACAGG